AUGGAUUAUCAUCCAAUCAUCUCUGCCCUCGACGUGUGUACUGAACCUGUCACCAUCGAUGCUCUUUUCUCUCUGGUGGCGAACUUCGACCAACGGAUCAAGAUGUUCCAUGGCGGCGGGGCUAGCGGCUUCAAGUCAUCGGCAAACGCUGCUUCCAGGGGACGCCAAAAUGACGGCAAGGGUGGCUACCGCAAUCAGAAGGGUGGCAGUGGCGGUGGCGGUGGCUCUCGAGGAAACGGCGGUGGCUACGGUGCUCCUGGUGGCGGCGGCUACGGCACUGGCGGAGGUGGCUACAACGGCACUGGUGGCGGCGGCUACCACACUGGUGGCGGUUCUGGUGGUGGCUACCAUCAGAACGAUGGAGGAGGAGGCUAUCGUGGUGGUGGUGGUGGCGGCCACUAUCACCAAAACCCCUCUGGUGGCGGCGGCAACAACACUCGACGUCCCCCCAACAACAACAUGAGGCGUCACUUCCAAGGGUAUGAUGGUUAUGAGGGACGUUGCCAAAUUUGUAAGAAAACGAAUCACCUUGCAAAAGAUUGUGAUUGGCGCUAUGUCGAUGGUAAUAAUUCCCAAAGCAAGAAAGUUGCAGCUGCAGCAUAUGUGUCUUAUGGUGUCGAUACCAAUUGGUAUAUGGACACAGGCGCUACGAAUCACAUCACUAGUGAAUUGGAGAAGUUGACAAUGCAUGAAUAG
rnacentral:rRNA from 1 species